AAUCAACGCUGGCGGCGUGCCUCAGACAUGCAAGUCGAACGCGAAAUCUCCCUUCGGGGAGAAAGUAGAGUGGCGCACGGGUGAGUAACACGUAGGUAAUCUGCCUUUGGGUGGGGAAUAACUCAGGGAAACUUGAGCUAAUACCGCAUAAUGCAGCGGCUCGACAUCGAGACAGUUGUUAAAGACGGGGGAUCGCAAGACCUCGCGCCUAAAGAGGAGCCUGCGGCAGAUUAGGUAGUUGGUGAGGUAAUGGCUCACCAAGCCUGCGAUCUGUAGCCGGCCUGAGAGGGCGGUCGGCCACACUGACACUGACAUAC
rnacentral:rRNA from 1 species